AAGAAAUCCAUCAAAUGCCUGAAGGAUAGGGUGGCUUCUCUUUCAAGACUUAAAAUGCUGUCCUUCCUGUUCGGUAGCUCUGUAAUACUGUUACCAUGGAUGUGGCAGCUGCCUGAAUGCAAUAGAGAGCAUCUCAUUCAAGCCAAGGAGACAGAAGGUCAAUUUCAGUUGCUCCAUGUUCCCAGAAGCUCUUGCAAGACCCAGAGGAUAACGUCUAUCAUGCUGCGGUUUGGCCAGCACCUCAUCAAGCCCUCCGUGGUCUUCCUGAAGACCGAGCUUUCCUUUGCUCUCGUGAACCGCAAGCCGGUGGUCCCGGGCCGUAUCCUUCUGACCAGUGCCUUGACCAUGGGCACCUGCACGCCCUGGGAGAAGCAGGGAAGCUCGGUGUGCUCCUGAGGCCAG
rnacentral:lncRNA from 1 species